ACUAUCCUACGGGGGGCAGCAGUGGGGAAUAUUGGGCAAUGGGCGCAAGCCUGACCCAGCAACGCCGCGUGAAGGAAGAAGGCCCUCGGGUUGUAAACUUCUUUUAUCAGGGACGAAACAAAUGACGGUACCUGAUGAAUAAGCCACGGCUAACUACGUGCCAGCAGCCGCGGUAAUACGUAGGUGGCAAGCGUUAUCCGGAUUUACUGGGUGUAAAGGGCGUGUAGGCGGGGCUGCAAGUCAGAUGUGGAAUUUCAUGGCUCAACCAUGGAACUGCAUUUGAAACCGUAGAUCUUGAGUGAUGG
rnacentral:rRNA from 1 species